UUUCUUGGGGGAAUGCGCAAGUUUUACAAGAUAAGGCAAAAUAAAUAAUAAAGAAAGAAAAUUAAGAAAACAGUUUUUUUUUCUUUCUCCCACUCCAAAUUAUUUCCACUCACCCUGAUUUUAUUUCACCACCUUAUUGCAUUAAGGGCUCAACAGAUUUCUACCAGUAAUGCUUGAUACAACUUCUCACUACUCAUACCUGCACAGAUAUCAACAGUGCAACUACUGUAGGUUUCAGGUUUAUAUUCAGUGAUCUUACAAGAAACACUAAUCCACAGAGUAACCUUUAACUUGUCAAUGUCUGACUGAUUAUUUUCUUUAUAUUCUUCAUAUCUUCUGUUUGAGUUUGCCCCCCUCUGCUGUUCAAGCUUUAAAAGUGCAGUUUAAACAUCAGUGGUUUGACCCGGUCAUGUUUUAGGUAACAGUCAGUGAUUAGUGGCAUCAGGAUUUCAGGCCACACAAGCAUCAGAUGUCAUGUGUGCUUUUAUUUUGUGUGUUUUUGUUUCCUUCUCUCUGUAAAUGUGUGUUAAUUUGUGUGGCAGAAGCUUUCAGACCUGCACUAGAGUUAACAGACAUGAAGAUACUCGUGGUCAGUCUCUUUUGGUUUAACUCCACUGUGAGUCAGUGACAGCAGGGCUGUAUUUCAUCACUGUGAGCCAGAAGAGUUUAGCAAAGAGGAAAAGGAAGAGGUGGAGCUGUUUGUCUUUUGAAAGCUCUUUAAGAGCACAAGAUAGAGACACAAUCAGACACAUCAGAAGAUCUCACUGCGUCUCUGACCGCUGAAGAAUGUACAGAUUCACAGGAGCGAGAGUUUUAUCAUCAGUGAAGAUGAUGAAGACCCUUCUCUUCUUCACAAUCUGCCUGAUUAAAGGUCACAUGGGUGAUGAUGCUGAUGCUGUCACUGGCAUCUCAGGAGGAAGUGUCAUCAUUCACUGUCUAUAUAACCCUGAAACAACUAAAGAAAGUGCAAAAAGCUUCUGCAAAGUGUCAGGCAGUGAAUGUACAACCAUGACAGAAGAAAAGAAAGAUUUAUGGAUCCCAGGCGAGAGAUUCUCUCUGACUGAUGAUAAAACUCUGCGUUUGAUUAGUGUGCUCAUUAGAAACCUGACUGUAAACGACAGCGGGACGUACAGAUGUAAAGCUGACAGUAAACUCAUUCAGCAGGAGAAAUUAGAAGUGACAGAAGAGUCGUGUUGUGGGACGUCAGAGGAACAGACUGCUUAUUUAGGAGGAACUGCUGUCAUCCGCUGUAGAUAUCCAGAGAAAUAUAACAGUAGUAUAAUGCAGCUGUUUAAAGUCCAGAAUGGAUCACUGAUUGCUUUUUUGACACUUGGAGGUUUAAUCGAUCCUAGAUUUUCUCUGGAUGAGAACAAACAGGAGCAAGUCUUUACUGUGACUAUCGUGAAGGUGAGCAGACAUGAUGAUGGGGUUUAUUUCUGUGGAGCACGUGUCACAAACAAUCAUAGAAAGAUCGCCUACAGUCCACUUUUCACAGAGAUUCAGCUCCAUGUUACAGGUGAGAAACAAUUAACAACAAAUUAA
rnacentral:lncRNA from 1 species